AUUGAACGCUGGCGGCAGGCUUAACACAUGCAAGUCGAGCGGAGACUUCGGUCUUAGCGGCGAACGGGUGAGGAAUGCCUGGGAAUCUGCCUAUUAGUGGGGAUAACGUUCCGAAAGGAACGCUAAUACCGCAUACGUCCUACGGGAGAAAGCAGGGGACCUUCGGGCCUUGCUCCAAUAGAUGAGGCCAGGUCGGAUUAGCUAGUUGGUGGGGUAAAGGCUCACCAAGGCGACGAUCCGUAGCUGGUCUGAGAGGAUGAUCAGCCACACUGGAACUGAGACACGGUCCAGACUCCUACGGGAGGCAGCAGUGGGGAAUAUUGGACAAUGGGCGAAAGCCUGAUCCAGCCAUGCCGCGUGUGUGAAGAAGGCCUUCGGGUUGUAAAGCACUUUAAGCGGGGAGGAAGUACUUGGGGCUAAUAUCCCUGAGUGUUGACGUUACCCGCAGAAUAAGCACCGGCUAACUCUGUGCCAGCCGCCGCCGUAACAC
rnacentral:rRNA from 1 species